GGGUUGUGAGGUUAAGCGACUAAGCGUACACGGUGGAUGCCCUGGCAGUCAGAGGCGAUGAAGGGCGUGCUAAUCUGCGAUAAGCGCCGGUAAGGUGAUAUGAACCGUUAUAACCGGCGAUACCCGAAUGGGGAAACCCAGUGUGAUUCGUCACACUAUCAUUAACUGAAUCCAUAGGUUAAUGAGGCGAACCGGGGGAACUGAAACAUCUAAGUACCCCGAGGAAAAGAAAUCAACCGAGAUUCCCCCAGUAGCGGCGAGCGAACGGGGAGGAGCCCAGAGCCUGAAUCAGCAUGUGUGUUAGUGGAAGCGUCUGGAAAGGCGCGCGAUACAGGGUGACAGCCCCGUACACAAAAGCGCAUGUGCUGUGAGCUCGAUGAGUAGGGCGGGACACGUGGUAUCCUGUCUGAAUAUGGGGGGACCAUCCUCCAAGGCUAAAUACUCCUGACUGACCGAUAGUGAACCAGUACCGUGAGGGAAAGGCGAAAAGAACCCCGGCGAGGGGAGUGAAAAAGAACCUGAAACCGUGUACGUACAAGCAGUGGGAGCACCCUUUGGGGUGUGACUGCGUACCUUUUGUAUAAUGGGUCAGCGACUUAUAUUCUGUAGCAAGGUUAACCGUAUAGGGGAGCCGGAGGGAAACCGAGUCUUAAUUGGGCGUUAAGUUGCAGGGUAUAGACCCGAAACCCGGUGAUCUAGCCAUGGGCAGGUUGAAGGUUGGGUAACACUAACUGGAGGACCGAACCGACUAAUGUUGAAAAAUUAGCGGAUGACCUGUGGCUGGGGGUGAAAGGCCAAUCAAACCGGGAGAUAGCUGGUUCUCCCCGAAAGCUAUUUAGGUAGCGCCUCGUGAAUUCAUCUCCGGGGGUAGAGCACUGUUUCGGCUAGGGGGCCAUCCCGGCUUACCAACCCGAUGCAAACUGCGAAUACCGGAGAAUGUUAUCACGGGAGACACACGGCGGGUGCUAACGUCCGUCGUGAAGAGGGAAACAACCCAGACCGCCAGCUAAGGUCCCAAAGUCAUGGUUAAGUGGGAAACGAUGUGGGAAGGCCCAGACAGCCAGGAUGUUGGCUUAGAAGCAGCCAUCAUUUAAAGAAAGCGUAAUAGCUCACUGGUCGAGUCGGCCUGCGCGGAAGAUGUAACGGGGCUAAACCAUGCACCGAAGCUGCGGCAGCGACGCUGAUGCGUUGUUGGGUAGGGGAGCGUUCUGUAAGCCUGUGAAGGUGUGUCGUGAGGCAUGCUGGAGGUAUCAGAAGUGCGAAUGCUGACAUAAGUAACGAUAAAGCGGGUGAAAAGCCCGCUCGCCGGAAGACCAAGGGUUCCUGUCCAACGUUAAUCGGGGCAGGGUGAGUCGACCCCUAAGGCGAGGCCGAAAGGCGUAGUCGAUGGGAAACGGGUUAAUAUUCCCGUACUUGGUGUUACUGCGAAGGGGGGACGGAGAAGGCUAUGUUGGCCGGGCGACGGUUGUCCCGGUUUAAGCGUGUAGGCUGGUUUUCCAGGCAAAUCCGGAAAAUCAAGGCUGAGGCGUGACGACGAGGCACUACGGUGCUGAAGCAACAAAUGCCCUGCUUCCAGGAAAAGCCUCUAAGCAUCAGGUAACAUCAAAUCGUACCCCAAACCGACACAGGUGGUCAGGUAGAGAAUACCAAGGCGCUUGAGAGAACUCGGGUGAAGGAACUAGGCAAAAUGGUGCCGUAACUUCGGGAGAAGGCACGCUGACACGUAGGUGAAGUGAUUUACUCAUGGAGCUGAAGUCAGUCGAAGAUACCAGCUGGCUGCAACUGUUUAUUAAAAACACAGCACUGUGCAAACACGAAAGUGGACGUAUACGGUGUGACGCCUGCCCGGUGCCGGAAGGUUAAUUGAUGGGGUCAGCGCAAGCGAAGCUCCUGAUCGAAGCCCCGGUAAACGGCGGCCGUAACUAUAACGGUCCUAAGGUAGCGAAAUUCCUUGUCGGGUAAGUUCCGACCUGCACGAAUGGCGUAAUGAUGGCCAGGCUGUCUCCACCCGAGACUCAGUGAAAUUGAACUCGCUGUGAAGAUGCAGUGUACCCGCGGCAAGACGGAAAGACCCCGUGAACCUUUACUAUAGCUUGACACUGAACAUUGAGCCUUGAUGUGUAGGAUAGGUGGGAGGCUUUGAAGUGUGGACGCCAGUCUGCAUGGAGCCGACCUUGAAAUACCACCCUUUAAUGUUUGAUGUUCUAACGUGGACCCGUUACCCGGGUUGCGGACAGUGUCUGGUGGGUAGUUUGACUGGGGCGGUCUCCUCCUAAAGAGUAACGGAGGAGCACGAAGGUUGGCUAAUCCUGGUCGGACAUCAGGAGGUUAGUGCAAUGGCAUAAGCCAGCUUGACUGCGAGCGUGACGGCGCGAGCAGGUGCGAAAGCAGGUCAUAGUGAUCCGGUGGUUCUGAAUGGAAGGGCCAUCGCUCAACGGAUAAAAGGUACUCCGGGGAUAACAGGCUGAUACCGCCCAAGAGUUCAUAUCGACGGCGGUGUUUGGCACCUCGAUGUCGGCUCAUCACAUCCUGGGGCUGAAGUAGGUCCCAAGGGUAUGGCUGUUCGCCAUUUAAAGUGGUACGCGAGCUGGGUUUAGAACGUCGUGAGACAGUUCGGUCCCUAUCUGCCGUGGGCGCUGGAGAACUGAGGGGGGCUGCUCCUAGUACGAGAGGACCGGAGUGGACGCAUCACUGGUGUUCGGGUUGUCAUGCCAAUGGCACUGCCCGGUAGCUAAAUGCGGAAGAGAUAAGUGCUGAAAGCAUCUAAGCACGAAACUUGCCCCGAGAUGAGUUCUCCCUGAGACUUAGAGUCUCCUGAAGGAACGUUGAAGACGACGACGUUGAUAGGCCGGGUGUGUAAGCGCAGCGAUGCGUUGAGCUAACCGGUACUAAUGAACCGUGAGGCUUAACCUUACAACGCCGAAG
rnacentral:rRNA from 1 species